rnacentral:misc_RNA from 1 species
AAAGAGAGAGAGAGAGAGAACUUUUGCAUUCUAGCCUGAGACACCACCACCCCCCAACCACCGCUGCCCCCCACCCCACCCCAUCCUCCUUCCUUCUCCGAGAAAAACCCAACUUUUUGUAAUUUCACAUAUUAAGAAUCUGAGAUUUCUUAACAACAACAACUAAGGCUUAAUCCUAACCAAAAAAAAAAAAGAAUUUAUAUUUUU